AGCGAACGCUGGCGGCAGGCCUAACACAUGCAAGUCGAACGAACCUUUCGGGGUUAGUGGCGAACGGGUGAGUAACGCGUAGGUAACCUGCCUGGUAGCGGGGGAUAACUAUUGGAAACGAUAGCUAAUACCGCAUAACAACAGUUGUUGCAUGACAGCUGUUUAAAAGAUGCAAUUGCAUCACUACCAGAUGGACCUGCGUUGUAUUAGCUAGUUGGUGAGGUAACGGCUCACCAAGGCGACGAUACAUAGCCGACCUGAGAGGGUGAUCGGCCACACUGGGACUGAGACACGGCCCAGACUCCUACGGGAGGCAGCAGUAGGGAAUCUUCGGCAAUGGGGGGAACCCUGACCGAGCAACGCCGCGUGAGUGAAGAAGGUUUUCGGAUCGUAAAGCUCUGUUGUAAGAGAAGAACGGGUGUGAGAGUGGAAAGUUCACACUGUGACGGUAUCUUACCAGAAAGGGACGGCUAACUACGUG
rnacentral:rRNA from 1 species